AAAUUAAGUCCAACUAUUAGAAUCUAUUGAUAGUUUAUCCAAAAAGAAGUCUAUAUUGCAAUUAUUUUAUAAGUAUCCCAUUGAAUUAUUAUUUUUCCAAACAUUAACUACUCUGAUUUUUAAUGGGGGAUUUGGUCAAAAUCCCCUUAUAAUAAAACUUUAAUGCAUUAAAGAGAAGCUCAAAAAGUUUUCCGUGAAAGGUCCAGCACAUACCACUAUUUACUAAAAUGUUAAACUUUAAAAUAAUAUAACUUUUGAUUUAAAUGUCGAUUUUUAAUAAAAUUAGUAUUUUUAUAUUCCUCUCAUCAAAAUCUAUCAAAUAAGAUCCAUGUUAACUAUGAAAUUCUUUAAAAAAUAUAUUAUUACCGUUAAAAUUGAUGUAAGCAGUAACAUAUAACAUGUUACUCUGGUUCACAGUAACAUGUUAUUUUGAUUCGCGGUAACAUGUUACUUUGACAAUAUUGUUCAAAAAAAAAUGAUAUUUUUAUUUUAUCCUUACUUAAUUAUGUGCAUUCUUCUUAGAAGAUUUAUAAAAUAAAAUAAAUUGGACUAUCUUUUUUUACCAAAUAAGGAUCCAAUAGAAUUGGAAUAAAUUACACAUUUUUGGGAAAUGCCCACGUUGCCAGAAUUUUUCUCCAUGUUGUCUAAUGUUAGUUUACAACCUCACCCAAAUGGAAAGCCCAAAUGACAGUCGUAGGGCCCCCAAAAAUAAUUCGACUAGUUACCAAACAAUAGAAAAAAAGAUUAAUGUUUAAUUACUAAUUGGGUAAAUCAAUUUUGCAGUUAACUAAAUUAUUCAUUGAAAAUGAUAUGAAAGACAAAAUUGAUUAUAUAAGCUUAAUUAGUAAUUUUGUAAUUAAAAAUAUAAGAAAGGUAAUAUUUAAGUGAUAUUUUGUUGCUUUUAAAUUAAUCUAUACUGAUUUAUGGCUUUAUUUUUUAUUUGGUAUUUUUCCCCCUCGUUUUAUAUUGAGUCUUGCUAAGCCAUGAAAUAACAAAAUCAAAUUAUUUUAUUUUUAUCUUGUUUAAUCUUGUAAUGAUUUGUUAAAAUCUUAAUCUAUGUAAGCAAAUUUUGGGUUCUUAGUGAGGCAAUUUCAAACACUCAUUUUGAAUUGUAAAUACGAAGGAAAUCAAACUUAAAACACCAACAUAUUUAAAGUUGUCUAACAAAAAAUUACAAUUAUUAAUCCACAUGGAAAAUAAAUAAAUAAAUAAAUAAAUUGAAUUUUAGAAUAAUCAAUGAUUAUUUUAUAGAUUAUCCUGAAAAAUUCAAAACUUUUCUUAUGUGAUCCCCUCCCCUUUAAUGUUUUUUUAUUUUAAAGGAUCCUAUUUAUAAAGAAACCAAAGAGGUAGUACCGGUAUGUCUCUCAAGAACCAUCAUGACUAGGGCUAAUCAACGGAUGCACCGGCCCGCUUGACCCACCCGACCCGACCCGACACCAUAUGGAUGGAUGUGUGACACGUGAUGGGUGGGUGCGGGCCCAUUUUUUGGCUUUUCUCAGGUUUUGGUCGAGUUGCGAUUGACCUGCCUCUUUACCCAAUAAACCUGACCUGCCCGCUUUUGUUCUUUUUUAUAUAUAUAUUUUUUAUUUUCCCCCAUUUUUCUGAUCUCACCACACUAACCUAACCUAAUUUAUUCAUCUUCUUCGAUACACACACACACACACUCUCUCUCUGUCCCCCCAGAACCCUACUUGUACUGACGACGACGACGACGAUCGAGCAACGAUCUACAUUGAAAAAGCCAUCGGCGAUCGACGAUCUGCGUUUUUUUUUUUUGAAUUUGUAUGCCCUCAGCCAGCCUUUUUUUGAGAAUCUCAUAUUAAAAUCCUAACCCAUUGGCAUUCUUCAACCUGAAAGAGGAUCGACGAUCGUGGUGUGGUGUUUGUUGUAGUUCUAAAGUGAAACCAGUGGAAGAGAGGUUCUACAAUGUGAAGAAGCUUACAAAGAGGAAAAAAAAGUUUGUUUCGGAAUCAAUUUCAUGUUCAAGUCCAAGUCCGGAGAGUAGUUAUAUUAAAGGUUAAUAUCAUUGGUUUGGCUCAUGGCUCAUGGUUCAUGGUUUGGCUCAAAGAAAUCAAUGGCUUUAUUGUUUCUUUUUUAGUUGUUUUGAAAAUAUGGCUAUUAGUUGGUACUUUCUUUAGAUGGCAGUAAUACUUUAUUUUGGAUGAUUGUAUUAAAACGUUUUAAAUUUUUUGGAUGAUUGUAAUACUUUAUUUUGGACGAUUGCAUGUUGAAAAUUUGUGUUGCGUUGUUGCACCCAC